rnacentral:tRNA from 14 species
CAAGGAGGCAACGGGGAUUCGACUUCCCCUGGGGGUA